rnacentral:misc_RNA from 1 species
UACGUAGGGGGCGAGCGUUGUCCGGAAUCAUUGGGCGUAAAGCGCGUGUAGGCGGCCCGUUAAGUCGGAUGUGAAAGCCCGGGGCUCAACUCCGGAAAUGCAUCCGAUACUGGCGGGCUUGAGGCAGGUAGAGGAGAGUGGAAUUCCCGGUGUAGCGGUGGAAUGCGCAGAUAUCGGGAGGAACACCAGUUGCGAAGGCGGCUCUCUGGGCCUGUCCUGACGCUGAGACGCGAAAGCAUGGGGAGCGAACAGG